rnacentral:rRNA from 1 species
CCUACGGGAGGCAGCAGUGGGGAAUAUUGCACAAUGGGGGGAACCCUGAUGCAGCGACGCCGCGUGAGUGAAGAAGUAUUUCGGUAUGUAAAGCUCUAUCAGCAGGGAAGAAAAUGACGGUACCUGACUAAGAAGCCCCGGCUAACUACGUGCCAGCAGCCGCGGUAAUACGUAGGGGGCAAGCGUUAUCCGGAUUUACUGGGUGUAAAGGGAGCGCAGACGGCUGUGCAAGUCUGGAGUGAAAGGCGGGGGCCCAACCCCCGGACUGCUCUGGAAACUGUAAAGCUGGAGUGUAGGAGAGGUAAGCGGAAUUCCUAGUGUAGCGGUGAAAUGCGUAGAUAUUAGGAGGAACACCAGUGGCGAAGGCGGCUUACUGGACUGCAACUGACGUUGAGGCUCGAAAGCGUGGGGAGCAAACAGGAUUAGAUACCCUUGUAGUC